AAGAAGAGGUCGCGAAUAUUAUCAGUAAGUCAGCUGAGCGGGUAAAGAAGCUUAGAAGCUGAGUGAAAGGGAUAUUUGCCGAAGCGCCGGUUAGCUUUACCUAGCCUGCGCUGGGACUUGGUUUAAGAGACCAAGGACUGUCGCUGCUUCAUGGCAGCGGAGCGCUAUCGA
rnacentral:ncRNA from 1 species